rnacentral:rRNA from 1 species
GCUUACGGCCAUACCACCCUGAACACGCCCGAUCUCGUCCGAUCUCGGAAGCUAAGCAGGUUCGGGCCUGGUUAGUACUUGGAUGGGAGACCGCCUGGGAAUACCAGGUGCUGUAAGCC